rnacentral:rRNA from 1 species
UACGUAGGGUGCAAGCGUUGUCCGGAAUUAUUGGGCGUAAAGAGCUCGUAGGCGGUUUGUCGCGUCUGCUGUGAAAACCGGAGGCUCAACCUCCGGCCUGCAGUGGGUACGAGCAGACUAGAGUGCGGUAGGGGAGAUUGGAAUUCCUGGUGUAGCGGUGGAAUGCGCAGAUAUCAGGAGGAACACCGAUGGCGAAGGCAGAUCUCUGGGCCGUAACUGACGCUGAGGAGCGAAAGCAUGGGGAGCGAACAGG